rnacentral:rRNA from 1 species
CAAAAACAUUGCUUCUUGAACAUCUAAUAAGAAGUAAUUCCUGCCCAGUGACUAAGUUCAACGGCCGCGGUAUCCUAACCGUGCAAAGGUAGCAUAAUAACUUGCCCAUUAAUUGUGGGCUAGAAUGAAAGGACUAACGAAAUAUAAGCUGUCUCUAUAAGUAAUAAAUAAAUUAAUCUCUAACUGAAGAGUGUUAGAUAAAAUCGAAGGACAAGAAGACCCUAUAGAGCUUUAUCUAAACAAAGAAACAAACUUUGUCAAAGAUUCGGUUGGGGCGACCAGGGAUAUUUAUAAUCACCCCUAAAUACAAGACUAAUUAAUCACAUAAAUGACCCUUUAUAAAGAUCACCAGAACAAGCUACCUUAGGGAUAACAGGCUAAUCCCGCUUGAGAGUCCUUAUUUAUAGCGGGGGUUGGCACCUCGAUGUUGGCUUAGAGUAUCUAUGAGGCGCAAAAGUUUCAUAAUGAUGGUUUGUUCAACCAAUAAUACUCUACGUGAUCU